rnacentral:tRNA from 1 species
GCCGCGGUAGUAUAGCCCGGUCAAGUAUGCGGGCCUCUCGUGCGGGACACCCGGGUUCAAAUCCCGGCCGCGGCACCA